ACGGGAGGCAGCAGUGGGGGAUAUUGCACAAUGGAGGAAACUCUGAUGCAGCAACGCCGCGUGAGGGAAGAAGGUCUUCGGAUUGUAAACCUAAGUUAUCAGGGACGAAACAAUGACGGUACCUGAAGAGAAAGCUCCGGCUAACUACGUGCCAGCAGCCGCGGUAAUACGUAGGGAGCGAGCGUUGUCCGGAUUUACUGGGUGUAAAGGGUGCGUAGGCGGGUCUGCAAGUCAGGCGUGAAAUACCGGGGCUUAACUCCGGGGCUGGGCUUGAAGCUGGGGGGCUUGAGUGAAGGAGAGGCAGGCGGAAUUCCCAGUGUAGCGGUGAAAUGCGUAGAUAUUGGGAGGAACACCAGUGGCGAAGGCGGCUUGCUGGGCUGUGACUGACGCUGGGGCACGAAAGCAUGGGGAGCAAACAGGAUUAGAUACCCUGGUA
rnacentral:rRNA from 1 species